GGGCAGCAUCAGGAUCCUGGGCCUUCUUUAUGUAUGCCUCCUAAUAUUUCAUGAUAAUAGUUACAUGAAAUAUUAGAGGGCUUAAUAAAGCCCAUAAGCAGAAAGAACUGAAAAACUUUCUAGUUAGGAAUAAAGUUGAUGUUCUAGGUUGCCUUGAAACUAGGGUCAAAGAACACAAAGCACUUAGGAUUGUUAAUAAAAUUGCUAAAGGUUGGAAGGUUCAACACAACUACACCAAUGCUGUCA
rnacentral:lncRNA from 1 species